UGAGCGAUAAGGUCCAUUGUCGAAAGGGGAACAGCCCAGAUCACCAGUUAAGGUCCCUAAAUUUAUGCUAAGUGGAAAAGGAUGUGGCGUUGCACAGACAACUAGGAUGUUGGCUCAGAAGCAGCCACCAUUUAAAGAGUGCGUAAUAGCUCACUAGUCGAGUGGCACUGCGCCGAAAAUAUACCGGGGCUAAGCAUAAUACCGAAACUGUGGGUGCACCCGUCAGGGUGCGCGGUAGGAGAGCGUUCUAAGGGCGUUGAAGGUCGAUCGUGAGGACGGCUGGAGCGCUUAGAAGUGAGAAUGCCGGCAUGAGUAGCGAAAGAUCAGUGAGAAUCUGAUCCACCGUAUGACUAAGGUUUCCUGGGGAAGGCUCGUCCUCCCAGGGUUAGUCGGGAUCUAAGGCGAGGCCGCAAGGCGUAGUCGAUGACAAGCAGGUUGAGAUUCCUGCACUAGUUUAUUUUGUUUAAGCGAUGGAGGGACGCAGGAGGCUAAGGAAAGCGCACGGCUGGAAAAGUGCGUCCAAGCAGUAAGUCCGGUAGCGAGUGAAAUGCUUGCCGCCUUAAGGACAAGCUGUGAUGGGGAGCGAAAUUAAAGUAGCGAAGUUCCUGAUGUCACACUGCCAAGAAAAGCUUCUAGUGAGAAAUAAACUACCCGUACCGCAAACCGACACAGGUAGUCGAGGAGAGUAUCCUCAGGUGAGCGAGCGAACUCUCGUUAAGGAACUCGGCAAAAUGACCCCGUAACUUCGGAAGAAGGGGUGCUGACCGCAAGGUCAGCCGCAGUGAAUAGGCCCAAACAACUGUUUAUCAAAAACACAGGUCUCUGCUAAAUCGUAAGAUGAUGUAUAGGGGCUGACGCCUGCCCGGUGCUGGAAGGUUAAGAGGAUGAGUUAGCGCAAGCGAAGCCCAGAAUUGAAGCCCCAGUAAACGGCGGCCGUAACUAUAACGGUCCUAAGGUAGCGAAAUUCCUUGUCGGGUAAGUUCCGACCCGCACGAAAGGCGUAAUGAUUUGGGCACUGUCUCAACGAGAGACUCGGUGAAAUUAUAGUACCCGUGAAGAUGCGGGUUACCCGCGACAGGACGGAAAGACCCCAUGGAGCUUUACUGUAGCUUGAUAUUGAGUGUUGGUACCGCUUGUACAGGAUAGGUAGGAGCCGUAGAGAUCGGAACGCUAGUUUCGAUGGAGGCAUUGGUGGGAUACUACCCUAGCUGUAUGAACACUCUAACCCGCGCCACUGAUCGUGGCGGGAGACAGUGUCAGGUAGGCAGUUUGACUGGGGCGGUCGCCUCCUAAAAUGUAACGGAGGCGCCCAAAGGUUCCCUCAGAAUGGUUGGAAAUCAUUCGCAGAGUGUAAAGGUAGAAGGGAGCUUGACUGCGAGACUGACAAGUCGAGCAGGGACGAAAGUCGGGCUUAGUGAUCCGGUGGUUCCGUAUGGAAGGGCCAUCGCUCAACGGAUAAAAGCUACCCUGGGGAUAACAGGCUUAUCUCCCCCAAGAGUCCACAUCGACGGGGAGGUUUGGCACCUCGAUGUCGGCUCAUCGCAUCCUGGGGCUGUAGUCGGUCCCAAGGGUUGGGCUGUUCGCCCAUUAAAGCGGUACGCGAGCUGGGUUCAGAACGUCGUGAGACAGUUCGGUCCCUAUCCGUCGCGGGCGCAGGAAAUUUGAGAGGAGCUGUCCUUAGUACGAGAGGACCGGGAUGGACGUUCCGCUGGUGUACCAGUUGUGCCGCCAGGCGCAUCGCUGGGUAGCUAUGAACGGAAGGGAUAAACGCUGAAAGCAUCUAAGUGUGAAGCCCCCCUCGAGAUGAGAUUUCCCAUUCCUAUAUGGAAGUAAGACCCCUGAAAGAUGAUCAGGUAGAUAGGCUGGAAGUGGAAGUGCAGCGAUGCAUGGAGCGGACCAGUACUAAUCGGUCGAGGACUUAACCAA
rnacentral:rRNA from 1 species